AUUGAACGCUGGCGGCAUGCUUUACACAUGCAAGUCGGACGGCAGCACAGAGACGCUUGCUUCUUGGGUGGCGAGUGGCGAACGGGUGAGUAAUAUAUCGGAACGUACCGAGUAAUGGGGGAUAACUAAUCGAAAGAUUAGCUAAUACCGCAUAUUCUCUGAGGAGGAAAGCAGGGGACCUUCGGGCCUUGCGUUAUUCGAGCGGCCGAUAUCUGAUUAGCUAGUUGGUGGGGUAAAGGCCUACCAAGGCGACGAUCAGUAGCGGGUCUGAGAGGAUGAUCCGGCACACUGGGAACGGGGAAAGGCCCAAGAUCCCUAGGGGAGGCAGAGGGGGGAAAUUUUGGAAAAUGGGCGAAAGCCGGUCCAAGCAUGCCGCGUGUCUGAAGAAGGCCUUCGGGUUGUAAAGGACUUUUGUCAGGGAAGAAAAGGCUGUUGCUAAUAUCAAGAGCUGAUGACGGUACCUGAAGAAUAAGCACCGGCUAACUACGUG
rnacentral:rRNA from 1 species